rnacentral:rRNA from 1 species
CAAUGGGCGGAAGCCUGAUGCAGCAACGCCGCGUGCGGGAAGAAGGCCUUAGGGUUGUAAACCGCUUUCAGCAGGGAGAAAAUGACGGUACCUGCAGAAGAAGGUGCGGCCAACUACGUGCCAGCAGCCGCGGUGACACGUAGGCACCAAGCGUUGUCCGGAUUUAUUGGGCGUAAAGAGCUCGUAGGCGGUUCGGUAAGUCGGGUGUGAAAACUCUGGGCUCAACCCAGAGACGCCACCCGAUACUGCUGUGACUUGAGUACGGUAGGGGAGCGGGGAAUUCCUGGUGUAGCGGUGAAAUGCGCAGAUAUCAGGAGGAACACUAGUGGCGAAGGCGCCGCUCUGGGCCGUAACUGACGCUGAGGAGCGAAAGCGUGGGUAGCAAACAGGAUUAGAUACCCUGGUAGUCCACGCCGUAAACGUUGGGCACUAGGUGUGGGUCUCAACCAACGAGAUCCGCGCCGUCGCUAACGCAUUAAGUGCCCCGCCUGGGGAGUACGGUCGCAAGACUA